UCUAAUACCGGAUACUGAUCGCCUUGGGCAUCCUUGGUGAUCGAAAGCUCCGGCGGUGCAGGAUGAGCCCGCGGCCUAUCAGCUUGUUGGUGAGGUAAUGGCUCACCAAGGCGACGACGGG
rnacentral:rRNA from 2 species